AUUUGUCUUCUAAAUAAAGACCAGUAUGAAUGGCAAGACGAAAGCCUCACUGUCUCCCUAAUCCAAUCAAUGAAAUUGAUUUUCCCGUGCAGAAGCGGGAAUAAUAAUAUAAGACGAGAAGACCCUGCGGAGCUUUAAACUUUAAUUAAUAAUAACUAUUAUUUUAACAACCAGUUUUAGGUUGGGGCGACCAUGAGGCACAACGUACCCCUCACGAUAGGUAUCAAGAAGGACACUUCAAAUUAUCAACACUGACACUUUGACCCAAUAAUUGAUCAACGAACCAAGUUACCCCAGGGAUAACAGCGCAAUCCGCUCAAAAAGUCCUUAUUGACGAGCAG
rnacentral:rRNA from 1 species